GUCAUUUUUAUCCAAACUGAUGAAGACUGUGUGAAAAUGAGCCUUCCCAUGAGCAAACUGAUAAACAUGGCCCCAGAUGAAGAGAAUGUUUGGAUGACAGGAUUGCCUGAAAAAUAUCUCAACAGACCUGAAACGUUAGAAUUUCAACACAUGUGCCUCGCGGAAUUUGUGUCGGAAUACAGGGUCCUUUAUGGAAAACAAAUUGAAGGACGAAAUGCAAUCCCCCUCCUAAAUGAUGCCGGAUACAUCCAGAAGAGAACAAUGGGCAAACCAGCAGUUAUCAGAUUUACCCGUUUCUCAGAGAAGAAAAGACCAGAAAAGUUUUACAGACGGCUUCUGAAGUUGUACUUUCCACACAGAAGAGAUGAGGACCUGAAAAAUGAGGAACACACAACUUACAAAGCCUUUUACGACAAUGGACUCUGUGGUAGCUGGCAAGUUAAACAGUACGUUGAGUGGAACCGCAAAAGAUACGAAGGUGAAGGAAAGAAAAUCGACAAGAUAAUGGAAGAACUGACAAAGCAAGGACCGGUUCGCAAUGCUUGGAACACUUUUGCUCCUGAAGUUGAAUUGGACCGUUUGGAAUGCGUAGCGGAGCGACCCUCAAUCGAUGAAAGUGAAGAACAAGACCCUGUCCCAGAAUACCAAGUUGAUGUCAACAGUGGAGCCAUGCCAGCAAUCGAAAUACCCAAAUUGAGCCCUGAUUUUAUUAGACAAAUGUACCGUAGUUUAAAUGAGACUCAAGCGUCCAUGUUUUACGCCAUUCGCCAUUGGUGUCUGCAACGUGUCUGGGGUCAAAAUCCAGACCCGUUCUUUUAUUUUUUGACUGGAGGGGCGGGCUGUGGCAAGUCUCAUGUUAUCAAAUGUGUUUACCAGGAAGCAACCAAGCUCUUGCGCCAGCUUCCCAGAUUUCACGAUAUUGGUGACAUGUCUCAGCCCACGGUACUCCUCACAGCUUUUACUGGAACUGCAGCUUACAACAUCUCAGGCAAGACUUUACAUUCAGUUUUGAAGCUACCCAAAAGCUUAAAGCCACCAUACAAAGGACUUGGAAAUACACUGGAUGAAGUGAGAGCCGUUCUUUCCAAUGUAGAAAUCUUAAUCAUUGAUGAAAUCUCCAUGAUCUCCAAAGACUUGUUUUCAUAUGUCCACUGGAGAUUUCAACAAAUUAAGGGAAACACAAGACCAUUUGGAGGGAUUUCUGUUUUGGCUGUGGGAGAUUUCUACCAGCUGCCACCAGUGGGAGGAGCAAAACCUCUUUGUGUCACUGAGGCCGGCGUCCUUGAUAUCUGGAACGAAAAUUUCCACAUGGUCAGUCUGACGGAAAUCAUGCGACAGAAAGACGACAGAGCAUUUGCGGAGCUCCUGAACCGGAUUAGAGUUAAAGGGAAAGCAGAUUUACUCAGCGACGGCGACAGAUCUCUCUUAACGCAAACUAUUACCGACCCCAAAGAGUGUCCAAUGGACGUGCUGCAUGUUUUUGCGACAAACAAAGAGGUGGACGCUCACAAUGCAGCAGUUGUGGCUUCUUUAUCAACAGUAAUAGUUGAUGUUCAGGCAGAGGACUACAAGAGGGAUACAAAAACAGGAAACAUGACAAAUCUAGGUAGCUGCGUCAAAGCCAAGAAACGAGAUUUGCCUGACAAUCUACAAGUCGGAUUGGGAAUCAGAGUCAUGAUCAUAAGAAACCUGAACGUAGAGGAUGGUCUUGUCAAUGGAACCUUUGGCACUAUUGCAGAUAUCAUCACCAGGACUAAAGAUGGAAACAGAACCGUGAAAUUAAUAGGACUGAAACUGGAUAGUCCCACAGCUGGCCACACCAAAAAAAUCAAAGGGAAACCAGACAACUUUGUUUACAUCGAGAGAUUUGAGGAACAAACCAGCAUAAAAGGAGUUGUUCGACAUCAGUUUCCAAUCAAGUUGGCAUUUGGAUGUACAGCACACAAAGUACAAGGGAUGACCAUGAAGUCUGCAGUUGUUUCUUUGAAGAGAGUUUUUGAACACGGAAAGGCAUACGUCGCCCUCAGUCGCACAACUUCUCUGGAAGGACUUAAAAUCAUUGAUUUGGAUGAGAAAAAGAUCUACGCCGAUGAAAAUAUCAGAGCAGCUAUGGAUUCGAUGAGAACAGCAUCGUUCUCAAACGCCAGACCCCUCUUGAAUUUUCAAUCACGUCAUCAAAGUGCAACUUUAAGAAUUAUUCAUCACAACGUCGAAGGUCUCAUCUCUCAUUCUGAGGACAUGAAACACCAUCAUGAACUCAGAUUGGCAGAUAUUUUAUGCCUUACCGAGACUCAUUUAUUUGGAUCUUCUGCUCCAGCUUGUUGCCAAAUGGAGGGUUAUUGUUUCUUUUCACGCAACAGACAUGUUUCUUAUUCCAACCGAGUGGACAUGUCUACCAAAGAGGGGGGAGGAGUCGCCACUUACUGCAGGAGUCUUCUACAACCCCAGGAGCGGAGAUACUUUCACAAUGUUACCGAUCUUGAAUACAACGUUGUGAAAGUGGAUGCGCCGAUCACAGCCCUCAUUGCCACGGUUUACAGGCCACCAAGUUAUGAUCUAGCUACGUUUUUGACAAACAUGGAAAAUCUUUUGGAUGGCCUGAAUUCAAUGGAUAUUCAGCCAGUUCUGGUAUUGGGAGACUUCAACGAGGACCUCCUCUCUCCGGGGAAAAAACCAAUCAAGGAGUUGUUUGGAAGCAAAGGAUUUACUCAACUCAUCUCGGAUCCAACAACGGAAAGGCAGACUCUCAUUGACCACAUUUACAUUUCGCAACCAGAAUAUUGUGUUCAGUCAGGUGUGUUGCAGACUUAUUACAGUUACCACAACCCUGUAUAUUGUAUUUUGGCUUCAUUUUCAGCUGCAUCUUCACCAUGACUUGAGAGGAGGGCUCGGAAACAAAUUACACUAGGACAAUAGUCCUGUCAUUUUUAAUGGUACUCCAUCUUAGGUAAAAACACCAAAGUGAGAACAAAUAAUCAGAAUCAAAUGUCCUCAAUGAUUCGCUUGGAUACUGGAAAUCCAGUUGAUGUAUUUAAAGGGUAAUAAGAAUAACGGUGUCGGCUGACGGCCUGUACAGGUCCAGUAACGGCUGUAAGCUUAUUGCUCAUGAAUACUUCAACUUGAGAUGACCACAGUACUCCAUUUGAGGCACCGAGUGGUCACCUAGGAUACCCCUGGGAUAUUGUAAGAAAGUGAAUGUAUUUAACAGCUAAUAAGAAUAGCGGUGUCGGCUGACGGCCUGUACAGGUCCAGUAACGGCUGUGAAGCUUAUUACUCUUGAAUACAGCUACUUCAGACGACCACUGAACUAAUUUGGAGACCAGUGCAUUUUUGAAACAUUUUAUUUAACUCCCCUAGAGAACCUGCUAGAGCUCUCUAGUAUUCUUUUUAUUUUCCUUUUUUGGUUUUCUUUCUGAUCAUGAGCCAAUGCUCCAGUCUGAUGGAGCAGUUUUUUCCACACUAUGGACAUUCUCCACUCCGCUCUGUUUGCUUGGCCAUUAUGUUAAUUUGCUUUGAGUGGAAAGAACUGUUUUUUGCCCAGUUUUAGUAAGUUUUUGCAGGCUUGAGAGCAUGCAACGCACGGCAUGACUCAUGAGGGUUCCAAGAAGAGAUGGAGGAAGCUGGACCUGGUCGAUUUGCAGAGCGGCCCAUCAUACGUCACCAAGCGCAGGACACCCCAACCCACCUGGCAGCCUUGAUCUUCCAAGCAGU